UACGGAGGGGGCUAGCGUUGUUCGGAAUUACUGGGCGUAAAGCGCACGUAGGCGGCUUGGUCAGUUAGAGGUGAAAGCCUGGAGCUCAACUCCAGAAUUGCCUUUAAGACUGCCGAGCUAGCAGGUGAGAGAGGUGAGUGGAAUUCCGAGUGUAGAGGUGAAAUUCGUAGAUAUUCGGAAGAACACCAGCGGCGAAGGCGGCUCGCUGGCUCAUACUGGACGCUGAGGUGCGAAAGCGUGGGGAGCAAACAGG
rnacentral:rRNA from 1 species